rnacentral:rRNA from 1 species
UGAUGCAAGGUUAAGCAGUAAAUGUGGAGCCGUAGCGAAAGCGAGUCUGAAUAGGGCGUUUAGUAUUUGGUCGUAGACCCGAAACCAGGUGAUCUACCCUUGGUCAGGUUGAAGUUCAGGUAACACUGAAUGGAGGACCGAACCGACUUACGUUGAAAAGUGAGCGGAUGAACUGAGGGUAGCGGAGAAAUUCCAAUCGAACCUGGAGAUAGCUGGUUCUCUCCGAAAUAGCUUUAGGGCUAGCCUCAAGUGAUGAUUAUUGGAGGUAGAGCACUGUUUGGACGAGGGGCCCCUCUCGGGUUACCGAAUUCAGACAAACUCCGAAUGCCAAUUAAUUUAACUUGGGAGUCAGAACAUGGGUGAUAAGGUCCGUGUUCGAAAGGGAAACAGCCCAGACCACCAGCUAAGGUCCCAAAAUAUAUGUUAAGUGGAAAAGGAUGUGGCGUUGCCCAGACAACUAGGAUGUUGGCUUAGAAGCAGCCAUCAUUUAAAGAGUGCGUAAUAGCUCACUAGUCGAGUGACACUGCGCCGAAAAUGUACCGGGGCUAAACAUAUUACCGAAGCUGUGGAUUGUCCUUUGGACAAUGGUAGGAGAGCGUUCUAAGGGCGUUGAAGCAUGAUCGUAAGGACAUGUGGAGCGCUUAGAAGUGAGAAUGCCGGUGUGAGUAGCGAAAGACGGGUGAGAAUCCCGUCCACCGAUUGACUAAGGUUUCCAGAGGAAGGCUCGUCCGCUCCGGGUUAGUCGGGUCCUAAGCUGAGGCCGACAGGCGUAGGCGAUGGAUAACAGGUUGAUAUUCCUGUACCACCUAUAAUCGUUUUAAUCGAUGGGGGGACGCAGUAGGAUAGGCGAAGCGUGCGAUUGGAUUGCACGUCUAAGCAGUAAGGCUGAGUAUUAGGCAAAUCCGGUACUCGUUAAGGCUGAGCUGUGAUGGGGAGAAGACAUUGUGUCUUCGAGUCGUUGAUUUCACACUGCCGAGAAAAGCCUCUAGAUAGAAAAUAGGUGCCCGUACCGCAAACCGACACAGGUAGUCAAGAUGAGAAUUCUAAGGUGAGCGAGCGAACUCUCGUUAAGGAACUCGGCAAAAUGACCCCGUAACUUCGGGAGAAGGGGUGCUCUUUAGGGUUAACGCCCAGAAGAGCCGCAGUGAAUAGGCCCAAGCGACUGUUUAUCAAAAACACAGGUCUCUGCUAAACCGUAAGGUGAUGUAUAGGGGCUGACGCCUGCCCGGUGCUGGAAGGUUAAGAGGAGUGGUUAGCUUCUGCGAAGCUACGAAUCGAAGCCCCAGUAAACGGCGGCCGUAACUAUAACGGUCCUAAGGUAGCGAAAUUCCUUGUCGGGUAAGUUCCGACCCGCACGAAAGGCGUAACGAUUUGGGCACUGUCUCAACGAGAGACUCGGUGAAAUCAUAGUACCUGUGAAGAUGCAGGUUACCCGCGACAGGACGGAAAGACCCCGUGGAGCUUUACUGUAGCCUGAUAUUGAAAUUCGGCACAGCUUGUACAGGAUAGGUAGGAGCCUUUGAAACGUGAGCGCUAGCUUACGUGGAGGCGCUGGUGGGAUACUACCCUAGCUGUGUUGGCUUUCUAACCCGCACCACUUAUCGUGGUGGGAGACAGUGUCAGGCGGGCAGUUUGACUGGGGCGGUCGCCUCCUAAAAGGUAACGGAGGCGCUCAAAGGUUCCCUCAGAAUGGUUGGAAAUCAUUCAUAGAGUGUAAAGGCAUAAGGGAGCUUGACUGCGAGACCUACAAGUCGAG